GGCGGCGGCGGUGGGUGUGGUGGUGGAGGUAUUGCAACAUCAUUUAUGUGUCAGCAUGGAAUGGAGUGGAGUGGUCGCAUUAAUAUCGGAUUAUUCAUCGAGUGAAGGAUGUGCGUUAGUUCUGAUUAAUUAAUUAUUGAUUCGUAGGAAAAGGUGGAGGUGGAUUUAACCUAAAGAAAAUCUUCCGAAGCAUCUUCAAGAAAGGAGGUGGUGGUGGUGGAGGAGGCAAAGGUAAAGGUCAUUAAAUGGUUUAAAGGCAAUCAGUUCAGUGAUGCUAAUUGAUGAUUUUCAUAGGAGGAGGUGGUGGUGGUGGAUGGGGUGAAUUUCUAAUCAGGCCAUGAAAUAGGUUAUCUCAAUGUCAGUAAUUAUUAAAUUGCAUUUAUUACUAAUUUUCAUAGGUGGUGGAGGUGGAGGAGGAAAAGGUUAGUUAAAAUUUGAAACAAUUCUUUGAGAUGCUCGAGUUUGUGCAGAGCAAACAUGGAAAGUACCUCUGUCGUCUGUAACGAAAAUAAAAUGUGUAUUAAUAAUUAACAUAGGCGGUGGGGGCGGUGGUUGGGGAGGAGGUGGUGGUGGAGGGGGAGGAGGAUAUGCGCCAAGUGUAGGUUCCUCAUAUGGGCCGCCAUCCGGUGGGGGUGGCGGUGGGUACGGCCGCUAAGCUUCUUCAUUCAAAGUGCCAAUGUUACGAAUGUUCAAAUAUGAUUGGAAUGAAUGCUGAUUUCAUCAUCGUCAUCAUCAAAAUGGGGAUUACUCCAACUCUCCAGAAUAAUGGAAGAAUGGUUCUUAAGAGUGAAUGAUUCUCAAUAAGUGCUUGUUUAUACCACCACCUUGCCGCAAUAUUUGCGUAUGCUUGUUGUUCAAGGAUAUUUUGUAAAUCUCAUUUUAUACUUUUGUUACGUCGUUGGGUUAAUAAAAGAGUUUCACGAGAAAACAUUGCGUAAAUGAAA